UCCGGGUUGACCCCGGCAGUCUUCGAUGAGUCCCCGCCAUAACGCGCUGGCAACUAAAAGCAAGGGUUGCGCUCGUUGCGGGACUUAACCCAACAUCUCACGACACGAGCUGACGACAACCAUGCACCACCUGUAAACCGACCGCAAGCGGGGCACCUGUCUCCAGGUGUUUCCGGUUCAUGUCAAGCCUUGGUAAGGUUCUUCGCGUUGCAUCGAAUUAAUCCGCAUGCUCCGCCGCUUGUGCGGGCCCCCGUCAAUUCUUUUGAGUUUUAGCCUUGCGGCCGUACUCCCCAGGCGGGACACUUAACGCGUUAACUGCGGCACAGAGGGAUUCGACUCCCCCCACACCUAGUGUCCAUCGUUUACGGCUAGGACUAC
rnacentral:misc_RNA from 1 species